ensembl:lncRNA
UAUAUUUCCAGCAAAACUUGUACACUGCACGUGUGGUUUAACUGAAAUUGACCAUUAAAAUGUGAAAAUUUGUGUAUAAACCUGUAUAUUUUAUUGAGUGUAAUAUACUGGAAAUGAGAGGCUCAGAUCUCGGCUCUGGAGCAUGAUCGGAUGAAACGAAUCAGACUCUUCUGUUCGUUUUGCCCUCCCUAACGCACGGUAUGAAUUUGGUGUAAAUCUGAGAACGAUGAAUUUUUGACCCCCAAAAAAUCACAAAGGUUAACCCCUUACCAUUUUUCUAUUUUGGGUGAAAAAUGUGACGUUCUCAGAUCUUCCCCAAAUUCACAGUGUGCGUUAGGGAGAUCAAGAGUAACACAUCAGUGCACACAGUUUUGCUCUAUCAUGCUCCAAAGCUGAGACAUAGUAUCUUUAUUUUACUACAGUACAGUAGAUAAAAUCGUAAUAGUAUAGUAUAGUAGAGUUUAGUAGAUUAAAAUAGGUACAGUAGAUAAAAUUGUUAUAGUACAGAAUAGCAGAUAAAACCGGUAUAUUUCCAUCAAAACUUGUACAUUGCACAUGUGGUUUAACUGAAAUUGACCAUUAAAAUGUGAACAUUUGUGUAUAAAC